UACAGAGGGUGCAAGCGUUGUUCGGAAUUAUUGGGCGUAAAGCGCGCGCAGGCGGUUUCUCAAGUCUGAUGUGAAAGCCCCCGGCUCAACCGGGGAGGGUCAUUGGAAACUGGGAAACUUGAGUGCAGGAGAGAAGAGCGGAAUUCCACGUGUAGCGGUGAAAUGCGUAGAGAUGUGGAGGAACACCAGUGGCGAAGGCGGCUCUUUGGCCUGUAACUGACGCUGAGGCGCGAAAGCGUGGGGAGCAAACAGG
rnacentral:rRNA from 1 species